GUAACCUAUACUACAACAAAGAAGGAAAUCAACAAAAAAAAAAUAAAAAAAAAAUAAUAAAAUAAAAAAGAGGAGAAAACCCGCCCCUAGGUGAACCCACGGCAACACCGACCACCCACCACCCCUACUCCCCUCUUUGUUCCCUAUUCUAAUCUCCCCUAUUUGAACCACCAUUAAUCAUCUUCCACCUUCAAUUUGUGUCUCCAAAUAUCUGUCUAUAAAUCCACAGAAAAAUUGAGUUUGAAUCACAAACUCAAAACCACAAAGAAAUCACAAAAAUUUCUUCUUCUCUCACUCUUUCUUCUCGGCACAACCAAGCCACCACCACCGUGCGCAUCACCUUCGGCGCACCGUCACCCUCUGACCGGCGAAAUCACGCCAGCCCUCGCCGACGACCCACGCCGCAGGCUGCAGCCGUCGCUGCUCUUCACUCUCUCUCCUCUCACCUCGUUCGAACUCCUCGGUCUCGCGCGCUACUGCUGCUGUUUCUGCCUUUCUGCCGCCGUCGGAGCUUCGAGGACCGCCGCAGAUCUCCCGUGUCGUCGCCCGCUGCCGCCGCCUCAGCCGGAGCUCGUUCUCUGCCUCGUUCUCCCCUGCUCUAAGUAGCAGAGAUUAAGAGAAGGAAUAUUACAAAGCCUUCCCCGGCUCUCAAGAAAACGUAGCUACGGUACCAGGUACUGAUGAUGAUAACGAGAUGGCGUAGCCGUGAGGAGUUGUUUAGUUUUAAGCUUUCUUAAAGUACUUAUGAUUUAGUUUAUGUCAAACUAUGUUAGUUGUUAAGUUUCAACUUUAGUUUUGUUAGAUGGACAAUUGUGAAGCUUUAAGUUAUAAUAUGUUGAAGUUAUGAUUU